GCCUCUGUAUCUCAGCUGGUAGAGAAUCUGACUUGUAAUCAGAGCGUCGGGGGUUCAAAUCCCUCCAGGGGCU
rnacentral:tRNA from 1 species